UUUACAUUCCCAACUCUCUUCUAACCCUAUAACCCGUCGCCGGCCACCACCACCACCACUCCAGCCGCCGGCCACCAUCGUCGCCGGAAGCACCACCACCACCACUCCUUUCUCUCUAUUUCUCUCUCCCCUCCCUCCUGUACUCUCUCUAUCCCUCCUCCUCCUUCUUGCUCAACAGACGGCGAUGCCGGAGGAAGGGAGCAAGCGAGCCAUGCUUCUUCUCCACCGCCUUCAUCAAUACAUGGAGAUUGUUGAGGCUCAGAGACUGGAAUUGGUUUUCCGGCGCCUAGGGUUCCGCUGCUUAGCCAGACGACGACGACGCUGAUUUGGGUUGUGGCGUCUGCUACUUCUGGACCUCUGGUGAUCCUAUCAGGCUUAAUUGCAGUUGUUCAUUGAUUCAGGGGGUGUUUGGGUUAGCUUAUUUUGGAGCAACUUAUGACUUAUUAACUUAUAAAAGUUAAUAAGUUGUUUUUUAAGUGUUUGGGUUAGCUUAUUUUAGAGGAUUUUGUGUGUGUGAGAAGUCAUUUUUGAGAAGUCAGAAUUCACUUAUGACUUAUAUAACUUAAUAAGUCAUUUUGAGAAGGAAUGCCAAACACCCACUCAAUCGUCUGCAAAUAUGCUUGAAUUGUUGGAUUGGAAAGAGAAAAUAUCAGUUAUUAAUGUCAAGAUCAGAUAAGGUGUGGUAUAUUGAGAUAGGGUUUUGUAAUUAAUUAUUCGGUUAUAGUGAACCUGGAGCUGCUGGUGUAAAAAUUAACUCACCGACAUAGUGGUUGUAAUAGGCGGCUAAGGAGUGACUUAAGUGUCUCUACCACCGCCGGCAAUGGUUCGUGUAGGAGAUUUUGGAUUUUUGAAGUUAACUGUGGGGUAAUAUUUUCAGAGAUGUGGCGGUGAAGAUUGUUGUUAGUAUAGAGAGAGAGAGAGAGGGGGAGUUACAGAGGUUGGGCGCCUGGGCGGCAGACGAGGUGGUGGUGGCGGCAGAUGAGGUGGUGGAAAGAUGUGGUGGUUAGAAAAUUGGAGAAGAUAAGAUCUAUAUGUAUUUUUUUUUGUUUUGUUUUUUUUUUAAACAUUUAAAUAAAAGCAUGAAUUUACCAUAAUACCCUUAAGUGAAUAAAUUUAACAAAAAAAUUUAACUAGGUUAGUGCUAAAGGACGUACACUGUAACGAGUUUUGCAAAUAAAGGAUUGUGACUGUAAUUAUU
rnacentral:lncRNA from 1 species